rnacentral:rRNA from 1 species
GACGAACGCUGGCGGCGUGCUUAACACAUGCAAGUCGAACGGAAAGACCUCUUUCGGGGGGUACUCGCGUGGCGAACGGGUGGGUAACUCGUGAGUAACUUGCCCUUGACUUUGGGAUAGCUUCAGGCAACUGGGGCUAAUACCGAAUAGAAGCUCCUGCUGCCUGGUGGGGGCUGGAAAGUUUCGGCGGUUGGGGAUGGACUCGCGGCGUAUCAGCUUGUUAGUGGGGUAGUGGCUUACCAACGCGUUGCCGGGUAGCCGGCCUGUGGGAGUGACCGGCGACAUUGGCACUGAGAGGCGGCCGAGGCUCCUACGGUUGGCAGCAGGGGGGAAGAUUGAACGAGGGGUGGAAGGCGGAUGCAGCAACGCCGUGUGCGGGAUGACUGUGUUAGGGUGGAAAACCGCUUGCGCUCAUAACGAAGCUUGGUGUGACGGUAGUGGGUAAAGAAGCACCGGCUAACUACGUG